GGUGGAGGCUUCGAAUACCCGCCGAGAGAAACGCUAAAGCUGUUAAAUAAGUAACCGUAAAAGGAUAGACCUCCCGUCGCCGUCGAUCGGCAGCCGGAAAACAUAUAAUUGGAGCUGCAAUCACUACCUUCAAGUGAAAACCAGGUUCUAUGGACUAUCCUAUGUGCGAAUCAUAUGUUUCGGGUGAUUCUGAUAUUCGAAAUCCUGGAACUUGAGCUUGAAGCUGCUGCUGUAAUGUUUGCUAGUUUGUUUGAAUUCAAGAUUUUCCACAUACGCAAUAUGGGACGCUGCAAAAGUUGGUGCCGAAGACCAUAUGCCAAAGAGUUCAAUGAUGUUCUCGUGUAAACUUUGGUGAAAUGCCAGCAAGACGCGCAACACAAACACUGUAGCAUCGGAAUUCUUCUGAAUUGACAUCUCUACUCAAACUUCUUCUGCA